rnacentral:rRNA from 1 species
AACGGAGGGGACUAGUGUUAUUCAACCUGACUGGGCGUAAAGGGCACGCAGGCGGCUUUUUAAGUUCUUAAUGAAAUACUCGAGCUCAACUUGAGGAACAUUUUGAAUACUGCUAAGCUAGAGUUUUAGGCAAGAAGAUGGUACUCUCAGUGUAGAGGUGAAAUUCGUAGAAAUUGAGGGGACUACCUGUAGGCGAAGGCAGUCUUCUGGGAUAAAACUGACGCUAAAGUGCAAAAGCAUGGGGAGCAAAUAGG